GCAGCGCUAGCUCAACGGCAGAGCAACCGCGUCAUGCGCGGCGGGUUGGAGGUUCAAGUCCUCUGCGCUGCUCCA
rnacentral:tRNA from 1 species